ACAACGAUGAGGUGAUAGGUACCCUGCCAGCGUAUUGCACGUUCGGCCGACAUAUUUGGAGGGCUUCUGUCCCGCUCAUAUGCCUCGAUAUUGUCGAGCAUCAUGCCUCCGAGCGGGUAUUUUUUCAGUUUGGCCCGUCGCAGCCUAUACCGAGUCCGCCUGCAUGGCUUGCUUUACAUUAUGAGAAGGAUGAUCGGUCCAGGACGGACGACACAUUUAUGGCAUGGCUUGACGAGCAGUUGGGUACUUGGGACAGGCGAGGGGACUUGACCCCACCUCCGCAACACUUUCCUAUUCAACGUUAUAUGGCGUGGUACCGCACUGUUUCCCGAUUUUUUAUCGGGAACCCAGUUCAUCAGGCACACGGUCGGUACGUCCCAUACGCCGGGAGACACGAGGCCCUGGCGAUUGGAUUGCAUACCGUCUAUCAUAUGGGGCAGCAGAUGCAGAGUCAUGUCCACGAUCCUGUGGUCAUGCAGGAGUAUAGUCGUCGAUUCAUGGAUGUGGCUGCCCAGACACUGUAGCGAGCCCGAUCGGAUCAGCGUUUGGCACACGAGGCUGAAUAUAUAGACCCAGCACAGUACCAGCGAGGUCGUGGUAUCCCACGAGCUAGACGUGCCCGACGAGUUGGUGGUGCCGGGCGACGUGGUCGUGGGCGGAGAAGAGGUGGUCCCCAGCAAGGGGGCGUUGAGGCUCCUGCUGAUGAUGUUGCUGCUGAUAUAGCAAGUGGCAUGCAUGAGACGGACAUGCCGUUUUACAGCCUUGGAAUUUAUCGCACUCCAGUGCCAUCGCAGGUGACCCCAUCGAGUCAAUUAUCGAUCACGUGCUCGGAUAUUUAAGGAGUGGAUUGGGGUAGAUACUUCCCAGGCCCGUCUACCACUGAUGAGGAGCGACCGACCCGAGAUUUUUAUAGUGGGCGCCAACUGAGUUAUGGCUCCACAUCACAUGCGCAGGCUUCAUGCGAUGCUGCGACAGAUGACUACAUUCAGGAUCCAGACACGAUGAUGCCUUCUAUUGGACCUGACAGCACCACCGAUACAUGUCAUCCUGCGCCGCAUCUGGCUAUAAGGAGACGACUUGAUGAUGAUAAUCAUGAUAGUGCACCCAGGCGGGAGGGGAUGCAGCUCAGGCUAGCGACUGCAUUGAGACACACCGGAUGCGUGACACAUU